UACGGGGGGGGGCAAGCGUUGUUCGGAAUUACUGGGCGUAAAGGGCUCGUAGGCGGCCAACUAAGUCAGACGUGAAAUCCCUCGGCUUAACCGGGGGAACUGCAUCUGAUACUGGAUGGCUUGAGUGUGGGAGAGGGAUGCGGAAUUCCUGGUGUAGCGGUGAAAUGCGCAGAUAUCAGGAGGAACACCGGUGGCGAAGGCGGGUCUCUGGGCCGAUACUGACGCUGAGAAGCGAAAGCAUGGGGAGCGAACAGG
rnacentral:rRNA from 1 species